ACCCGGUUGGCCGAGUGGUCUCUAAGGCGUGUGACUUAAGUUUCUUCUUAAAUAUCUCAUAUCCGAAAGGAUGCGUGGGUUCGAAUCCCUCACCGGGUA